GUGCUCGCUCCAGCAGCAUAUAUACUAAAAUUGGAACGAUACAAAGAAGAUGAUCAUGGUUUCUGUGAAAGGAUGACACACAACUUCAUGAAGCAUUACAUAUUUUU